AUAAAAAUGGGAUUUGUUGGGAUUUGGGUCGUGGAAUUUGGGAUAAAAAAGGGAUUUGUUGGGAUUUGGGUCAUGGAAUUGGGGAGACAAACGGGAUUUAGUUGGAUUUGGGUCAUAAACUGGAGAGAAAAAUGGGAUUUGCUGGGAUUUGGGUGGUGGAAUUGGGGAGAAAAAUGGGAUUUGUUGGCAUUUGGGUUGUGGAAUUGGGAAGAAAACAGGAUUUGGGUCAUAAACUGGGGAGAAAAAUGGGUUUUGGUGGGAUUUGGGUCAUAAACUGGGGAGACAAAUGGGAUUUGGGUGGUGGAAUUGGAGAGAAAAAUGGGAUUUGUUGGGAUUUGGGUGGUGGAAUUGGGGAGAAAUGGGAUUUAGUAGGAUUUGGGUCAUGGAAUUGGGGAGACAAAUGGGAUUUGGUGCGAUUUGGGUGGUGGAAUUGGGAUCAAAACGGGAUUUGGGUCAUAAACUGGGGAGAAAAAUGGGAUUUGGGUGGAUUUGGGUCAUGGAAUUGGGGAGACAAAUGGGAUUUGGUGGGAUUUGGGUCGUGGAAUUGGGGAGAAAAAUGUGAUUUGGUGGGAUUUGGGCCGAGGAAUUGGGGAGAAAUGGGAUUUAGUGGGAUUUGGGUCAUAAACUGGGGAGACAAAUGGGA
ensembl:lncRNA